GAUGGUAGUAUGCAUUAUAUAUUGAGCCAAAAAAGUUUAGCAACACUUUUUUUUGAAUUUUUUUUUUUUUGUUAUUUCUGGAAAAAAUUUAAUUAAACAUCAUUAGUUUUACCUGUAAUUUAAAACAGUCGUUCUUUUUCCUGGUGAUUGAUUUCGCGCCAUUUCAACUUUGCAAGUGUAAUUGAUGGUUAACCUUCUGUACCUGUAAUUUUC
rnacentral:lncRNA from 1 species